UCUUUUCCUUUUUUUCCCUCCUCCUCUUUCCUCCUUCCUUUCCGGGCGUUCUCCGGCUUUCUUGGGUUUCCCGGGCGCGUAGGCCGGAGAUUAAGCGUGUUGUGAAAUGUAGAUGCUCAACAUCUGCACUGCAGCGCGAACUGGUUUCCUUGAGUACGCACAAAGUGGGCGGAAUUCGUGGUGUAGCGGUGAAAUGCUUAGAUAUCACGAAGAACGCCGAGGGCGAAGGCAGCGCACGGGAGCGAAAAGGAAGAGGAAGAGAGAAAGGGAGGGGAGAGAACAGG
rnacentral:rRNA from 1 species